rnacentral:rRNA from 1 species
GUCUCUGCGCGGAAAAUUUAACGGGGCUAAGAUACAAACCGAAGCUUAGGCUGCAUACGUAAGUAUGCGGGGUAGGGGAGCGUUGUGUAAGCGGAGAAACAGUAGCGGAAGCGGCUGUGGAGUUUACAGAAGUGAGAAUGCCGGAAUGAGUAGCGCGAAUGAUGUGAGAAUCAUCAUGGCCGGAAACCUCAGGUUUUUGGAGGAAGGUUCGUCCGCUCCAAGUUAGGCGGGAGCUAAGGUGAGGCCGAAAGGCGUAGCCGAUGCACAGACGGUAGAGAUUCCGUCCCCACCGAAAGAUUUAAGCGCAGGGACACUUUUAGAAGGUCGGAGCCAGGUGUUGGUUCUGGUAGAGAUCGAGGGAAAUUUAGUACCGAAGUCCGGCUGGAUAAGAGGCGAGAAAAGCUGCGUGUAUAUCUAAGGUGCCCGUACCGCAAACCGACACAGGUAGGUAGGAAGAAGAUUCUAAGGCCAACGGGAGAAGGGUUGUUAAGGAACUCGGCAAGUUGACCCCGUAACUUCGGAAUAAGGGGUGCUCAUGAAAGUGAGCCGCAGAGAAUAGGCCCAGGCAACUGUUUACCAAAAACACAGGUUUGUGCUAAAUCGAAAGAUGACGUAUACGAGCUGACGCCUGCCCGGUGCUGGAAGGUUAAAAGGAGAUGUGCAAGCAUUGAAUUGAAGCCCCAGUGAACGGCGGCCGUAACUAUAACGGUCCUAAGGUAGCGAAAUUCCUUGUCAGGUAAGUUCUGACCCGCAUGAAAGGCGUAAUGAUUUGGGCACUGUCUCAACAGCCCGCCCGGCGAAAUUGUAGUACCGGUGAAGAUGCCGGUUACCCGCGACAAGACGGAAAGACCCCAUGGAGCUUUACUGUAGCCUGAUAUUGGGUUUCGGUGUUGCAUGCACAGGAUAGAUGGGACACUGGGAAGCGGAUGCUUUGGCGUUCCUGGAGUGGACGUUGGGAUACCAUCCUUGCGACAUUGGAAUUCUAACCUGCGCCUCUGAAUCGAGGCGGGGGACAUUGUCAGGUGGGCAGUUUGACUGGGGCGGUCGCCUCCUAAAAAGUAGCGGAGGCGUUCAAAGGUUCGUUCGAUCUGGACGGAAACCAGAUGAUUGAGUGCAAACGCAUAAACGAGCCUGACUGCGAGACUGACGGGUCGAGCAGAGACGAAAGUCGGAGUUAGUGAUCCGGUGGUAUGUGAGUGGAAAUGCCAUCGCUCAACGGAUAAAAGUUACCCUGGGGAUAACAGGCUGAUCUCCCCCAAGAGUCCACAUCGACGGGGAGGUUUGGCACCUCGAUGUCGGCUCAUCGCAUCCUGGGGCUGAAUUCGGUCCCAAGGGUUUGGCUGUUCGCCAAUUAAAGCGGUACGCGAGCUGGGUUCAGAACGUCGUGAGACAGUUCGGUCCCUAUCUGUCGUGGGCGCAGGAUAUUUGAAAGGCGCUGUCCCUAGUACGAGAGGACCGGGAUGGACGAACCUCUGGUGCACCAGUUGUCACGCCAGUGGCACAGCUGGGCAGCUAUGUUCGGAUCGGAUAAACGCUGAAAGCAUCUAAGCGUGAAGCCGGCCUUAAGAUAAGAUAUCCCACUGAGUCAAUCAGGUAAGACCCCUUGAAGACUACAAGGUUGAUAGGCACACAGUGUAAGCGGAGUGAUCCGUUCAGCUAGCGUGUACUAAUAGGUCGAGGGCUUGACCCC